rnacentral:rRNA from 1 species
CCUACGGGUGGCAGCAGUGGGGAAUAUUGCGCAAUGGGCGAAAGCCUGACGCAGCCACGCCGCGUGAGCGAUGAAGGCCUUCGGGUCGUAAAGCUCUGUGGGGAGAGAAGCGGUAUCUCCUUAGCAAGCACCGGCUAACUCCGUGCCAGCAGCCGCGGUAAUACGGAGGGUGCAAACGUUGCUCGGAAUCAUUGGGCGUAAAGCGCACGUAGGCGGCGAAGCAAGUCGGGUGUGAAAGCCCUGGGCUCAACCCAGGAAGUGCAUUCGAAACUAUUUCGCUUGAAUCUCGGAGGGGGUCAGAGAAUCCCGGUGUAGAGUGAAAUUCGUAGAUAUCGGGAGGAAUACCAGUGGCGAAGGGCUGCCUGGAAGAUUGACGCUGAGGUCGAAAGCGCGGGAGCAACAGGAUUAAUACCCUUGUAGUC